rnacentral:rRNA from 1 species
AACGAACGCUGGCGGCGUGGAUAAGACAUGCAAGUCGAACGGGGCAGACCGAGUAGCAAUAUUUGGAAUGUUCAGUGGCGAACGGGUGCGUAACACGUGGAUAACAUUCCGGAAAGCGGGGAAUAGCCCAGGGAAACUUGGAUUAAUACCGCAUGUGGCCGCAAGGCUAAAGACGGGGACCGCAAGGCCUGUCACUUUCCGAUUGGUCCGCGGCCUAUCAGCUAGUUGGCGGGGUAAUGGCCCACCAAGGCUACGACGGGUAGCUGGGCUUAGAGGACGACCAGCCACACUGGAACUGAGACACGGUCCAGACACCUACGGGUGGCAGCAGUCGAGAAUCUUUCACAAUGGGGGCAACCCUGAUGGAGCGACGCCGCGUGGAGGAUAAGGUCUUCGGAUUGUAAACUCCUGUCAUGCGAGAACAAGGUACUCAGGCUAAUAACCUGAUUGUUUGAUGGUACCGCAAGAGGAAGAGACGGCUAACUCUGUGCCAGCAGCCGCCGUAAUAC